rnacentral:rRNA from 1 species
GAGAGUGGAAUUCCCGGUGGAGCGGUGGAAUGCGUAGAUAUUGGGAGGAACACCAGUGGCGAAGGCGAUUCUCUGGUCUGUAACUGACGCUGAGGCGCGAAAGCUAGGGGAGCAAACAGGAUUAGAUACCCUGGUAGUCCUAGCUGUAAACGAUGGGCACUAGGUGUGGGAGGUAUCGACCCCUUCCGUGCCGGAGUUAACGCAUUAAGUGCCCCGCCUGGGGAGUACGGUCGCAAGAUUGAAACUCAAAGGAAUUGACGGGGGCCCGCACAAGCAGUGGAGCAUGUGGUUUAAUUCGAGGCUACGCGAAGAACCUUACCUGGGUUUGACAUCCCCUGAUGUAUCGGUGAAAGCCGAUUUCCCUUUUGGGCAGGGAGACAGGUGCUGCAUGGUUGUCGUCAGCUCGUGUCGUGAGAUGUUGGGUUAAGUCCCGCAACGAGCGCAACCCUUGUCCUGUGUUACCAUCAUUAAGUUGGGGACUCACAGGAGACUGCCGGAGAUAAUCCGGAGGAAGGC